GUACUACCUGAGGCAAAGGCACAGCAUGAAAGAAAAGUCUGACUUGGAGCUGAAAACGUUCUUCAACAGAUAUGAUCAAGUGGGUUAUUCAUCUUUGUGCUUGUCUAAAUGUAAUCUCAGGAUCAUUUGAUUACAUGUAUGAUGACAGCUCUUUCCUUGACCCAGCAGACAUGCUGAAUGUGAACAUACCUCUACAAAACCCCCAACGGCCACUUCUUGGAGGCACAUUAAUACUUCCAUGCCACUUUGAGG